GGUACAUAGCUCAGUUGGUAGAGUGCCUGCUUUGCGCGCACAAGGCCCUGGAUUCAAUCCCCAGCACCA
rnacentral:tRNA from 1 species